UAACUGACGCUGAGACACGAAAGCGUGGGUAGCAAACAGGAUUAGAUACCCUGGUAGUCCACGCCCUAAACGAUGCAUAUUUGGUGUGGGUCAUUCAGUUGAUCCGUGCCGGAGCUAACGCGUUAAAUAUGCCGCCCGGGGAGUACAGUCGCAAGGCUGAAACUCAAAGGAAUUGACGGGGGCCCGCACAAGCGGUGGAGCAUGUGGUUCAAUUCGACGCAACGCGAAGAACCUUACCUGGGCUCGAACGGCUUCCUAACGCCGGUGGAAACACCGGUAUCCCGCAAGGGAGUGGAGUCGAGGUGCUGCAUGGCUGUCGUCAGCUCGUGUCGUGAGAUGUUGGGUUAAGUCCCGCAACGAGCGCAACCCUUGUCCUGUGUUGCCAUCAUUCAGUUGGGAACUCGCAGGAGACCGCCAGCGAUAAGCUGGAGGAAGGUGGGGAUGACGUCAAGUCCUCAUGGCCUUUAUGUCCAGGGCUACACACGUGCUACAAUGGACGGUACAAUACGUCGCUAACCCGCGAGGGGGAGCCAAUCGCUAAAAACCGUUCUCAGUUCGGAUUGCAGGCUGCAACUCGCCUGCAUGAAGCUGGAAUCGCUAGUAAUGGCAGAUCAGCACGCUGCCGUGAAUACGUUCCCGGGCCUUGUACA
rnacentral:rRNA from 1 species